rnacentral:rRNA from 1 species
UACGGAGGAUCCAAGCGUUAUCCGGAAUCAUUGGGUUUAAAGGGUCCGUAGGCGGUUUGGUAAGUCAGUGGUGAAAGCCCAUCGCUCAACGGUGGAACGGCCAUUGAUACUGCCAGACUUGAAUUAUUAGGAAGUAACUAGAAUAUGGUAGUGUAGCGGGUGAAAUGCUUAGAGAUUACAUGGAAUACCAAUUGCGAAGGCAGGUUACUACUAAUGGAUUGACGCUGAUGGACGAAAGCGUGGGUAGCGAACAGG